rnacentral:misc_RNA from 1 species
UUAUUCAGUAAAAAAUAAUUAUAAAUUAAAUAUUAUUAAUUAAUAAAAAUUCAGUUAUUUCGGUUAGUUUGCAAACCAAAUAAAGUGCAACCGAACCGAUGACUGAAAACUGAAAAUUUUAGGAAUUACUAACUGAUAGCCAAACCCAAUCAAACAUACUCCUGCCAAAAUAACUAAAUUUCAUUGGUUUGGUUCGGUUAUUUGUCUAUAAUUGGAUAAUGCAUACUCCUACUAGAGUCAUGGCUUGUGUUCAAUACCUUAACAAAAAUAAAUGGAAAACUGCUUAUCUUCUUCUAGUUGUUCUCUUGGAAGCACAAAUUAUUCUUUCAUAGUUUUUCUUCAGUUCAUUGGUGAAAUUUCUUAAAUUAUUUUGCUUGUCAUGUUCUGUAUUGGAAAUUUCCUUACUGUUGAUGGUAUGGACUGUAUAAAAAACUGUCAAAUUGUGUUGUUUUCAAGACUACUAUAGCUAGUCAUUCCCGUUGUUCUCUCACAGUUCAUUUAUUCUCUUGCAUUUAUAUGUUUGCUUAUGCAGUUGCACUA